rnacentral:rRNA from 1 species
AUGCUGCAGGGCGUGGUGCUCCGCCCGCCCUCGCACCUCCCGCAGCCGGAGGCGCCGCCCGGCCUGACCAGGGCGGUCUCCACGCCGGCGCCGAACGGCCAUCGUGAGGGUGCUCCGGCUCCGGAAGGGCAGAGGCACGUCGAGCGGUCCAACUCCGCCGCGGCCGUGGUGGACGUGGCGUCCAUCGGGCGGUUCUUCCGCGACCGGCGCGACGUGCUGUCCUCGGCCAUCAACCGCCGCAUCUCGUCGCUCAAGGAGACGUCGGCCCCGGCGCCGGGGGACGCGUGCUACGGCGUGCAGGAGAUCCACCUGCCCAACGUGAAGGUCACCGUCCGCCUCAAGGAGGCCAUCGCCGCCGACGCGGAGGAGGACGACGGCUACGGCCACUCCUUCUCGGGCAGCCACAUCAAGGGGCGGGUCAGCUUCUUCUCCCGCUCCGGCUGCCGCGACUGCGACGCCGUGCGUGCCUUCUUCCGCCAGUCCGGCCUGCCCUACGUGGAGAUCAACCUGGACGUGUUCCCGGAGCGCGAGGCCGACCUCGCGUCCCGGGCCGGCGCCGCCGCGCGCGUUCCCCAGAUCUUCCUCAACGAGAAGCUCCUGGGCGGGCUCGUCGUGCUCAACUCCCUGCGCAACAGCGGCGAGUUCGAGCGGCGCGUGCGCGAGGUCGCCGGGAGGCGGUGCCCCGACGCGGCGCCUCGGGUGCCCGUGUACGGGUUCGACGCCGACGCCGGCAAGGAGGGGGAGGAGGAGGAGAGGGAGGACGCCAUGGUGGGCAUCGUGAGGGUGCUCCGGCACCGGCUGCCCAUACAGGACCGGUUCGUGAGGGUGAAGCUCGUGAAGAACUGCUUCUCCGGCGCCGACAUGGUCGACGGCAUCGUGAACCACUUGGAGUGCAGCAGGAACAAGGCUGUGGAGAUCGGCAAAGAACUCGCGAGAAAGCACUUCAUCCACCAUGUCUUCAGGGAGAACGACUUCGAGGAUGGCACCCAGAGCCUGUACCGCUUCCUGGAGCACGACCCGGCCGUCCCCAGGUACUACAACUUCAGGGGCUCCACCAACGACGGCGAGCCCAAGCCCGCCGCCGCCGUCGGCCAGAGGAUGACCAAGAUCAUGGUCGCCAUACUCGAGGCCUACGCCUCCGAGGACCGCCGCCGCCUCGACUACGCCCGCGUCGCCGCCAGCGAGGAGUUCCGGAGGUACGCCAACCUGGCGCGGGACCUCCAGCGGGCGGACGUCUUCGCCCUGCCCGCCGGGGAGCGCCUCUCCUUCUUCCUCAACCUGCACAACGCCAUGGCCAUCCACGCCGUCAUCAGGACCGGCCAGCCGGCGGGCUCGGGGGCCGUCGACCGCCGCUCCUUCUUCACCGACUUCCAGUACGUCGUCGGCGGGUACCCCUACUCCCUCACGACCAUCAAGAACGGCAUCCUCCGCGGCAACCGCAGGCAGCCCUACACCAUCGUCAAGCCGUUCGGCGCCUCCGAUAAGAGGCUCGAGCUGGCGGAGACGAAGGUGAACCCGCUGGUGCACUUCGCGCUGUGCAACGCGACGCGGUCGAGCCCCACCGUGCGGUUCUACUCCGCGCAGGGCGUGGAGCCGGAGCUCCGGCACGCGGCCAGGGAGUUCCUCCUCGACGGCGGCGUGGAGAUCGACCUCGAGACCCGGACCGUCCACCUCACCAGGAUCAUCAAAUGGUACAGCGCCGACUUCGGGCAGGACAGGGACAUCCUCAGGUGGAUCCUCAACUACCUGGACCCGACCAAAGCCGGGCUCCUGACGCAUCUCCUCAACGACGGCGGACCCAUCAGCAUCGCCUACCAGGACUACGACUGGUCCUUGAACGCCUGA